UACGUAGGGGGCAAGCGUUGUCCGGAAUUAUUGGGCGUAAAGAGCGCGUAGGCGGUCCGGUAAGUCGGUUGUGAAAGUCGGGGGCUCAACCCUCGGAUGCCGAUCGAUACUGUCGGGCUAGAGUCCGGAAGAGGCGAGUGGAAUUCCGUGGUGUAGCGGUGAAAUGCGCAGAUAUCAGGAGGAACACCAAUGGCGAAGGCGGCUCUCUGGGACGGUACUGACGCUGAGACGCGAAAGCGUGGGGAGCGAACAGG
rnacentral:rRNA from 1 species